rnacentral:rRNA from 1 species
UACGUAGGGUGCAAGCGUUAAUCGGAAUUACUGGGCGUAAAGCGUGCGCAGGCGGUUUUGCAAGACAGAUGUGAAAUCCCCGGGCUUAACCUGGGAACUGCAUUUGUGACUGCAAGGCUAGAGUGUGUCAGAGGGAGGUGGAAUUCCGCGUGUAGCAGUGAAAUGCGUGGAGAUGCGGAGGAACACCGAUGGCGAAGGCAGCCUCCUGGGAUAACACUGACGCUCAUGCACGAAAGCGUGGGGAGCAAACAGG